rnacentral:rRNA from 1 species
GGAGUUAGCCGGUGCUUCUUCUGUGAGUGAUGUCCUUCCUGCCGGCUAUUAACCCGCAGGCCUUCUUCCUCACUGAAAGUGCUUUACAACCCGAAGGCCUUCUUCACACACGCGGCAUGGCUGGAUCAGGGUUGCCCCCAUUGUCCAAUAUUCCCCACUGCUGCCUCCCGUAGGAGUCUGGGCCGUGUCUCAGUCCCAGUGUGGCUGAUCAUCCUAUCAGACCAGCUACGGAUCGUCGCCUUGGUGAGCCGUUACCUCACCAACCAGCUAAUCCGACAUAGGCUCAUCCGAUAGCGCGAGGCCCGAAGGUCCCCCGCUUUCCCCCGUAGGGCGUAUGCGGUAUUAGCCUGGGUUUCCCCAGGUUAUCCCCCACUACCGGGCAGAUUCCUAUGCAUUACUCACCCGUCCGCCGCUCGCCACCAGGGAGCAAGCUCCCCGUGCUGCCGCUCGACUUGCAUGUGUUAGGCCUGCCGCCAGCGUUCAAUCUGAGCCAGAUCAAACUCUGA